CAGCCGCCACGGUAAUACAAAGGAUGCAAGCGUUAUCCGGAAUGAUUGGGCGUAAAGCGUCUGUAGGUGGCUUUUCAAGUCCACCGUCAAAUCCCAGGGCUCAACCCUGGACAGGCGGUGGAAACUACUAAGCUAGAGUAUGGUAGGGGCAGAGGGAAUUUCCGGUGGAGCAGUGAAAUGCGUUGAGAUUGGAAAGAACACCAACGGCGAAAGCACUCUGCUGGGCCGACACUGACACUGAGAGACGAAAGCUAGGGGAGCAAAUGGGAUUAGAUACCCCAGUAGUCCCUGUCUCUUAUAC
rnacentral:rRNA from 1 species